rfam:Gossypium raimondii Chr08_contig_1318, whole genome shotgun sequence.
UGUUAAAAAUUCCAUCCAUUUUUACUUUUGAAAACUGGUUUAAUUGACAGAAUGACUAGGCAAUUACAUGUGCCAUGUGUACUUCAUGCUGAGGUAUAAGGACCAGUUUUUAACAGUAAAAAUGUAUGAAAUUUUUAACA